UACGGGGGGGGUAAGCGUUGUUCGGAAUUACUGGGCGUAAAGGGCUCGUAGGCGGCCAACUAAGUCAUACGUGAAAUCCCUCAGCUUAACUGGGGAACUGCGUGUGAUACUGGAUGGCUUGGGUUUGGGAGAGGGAUGCGGAAUUCCAGGUGUAGCGGUGAAAUGCGUAGAUAUCUGGAGGAACACCGGUGGCGAAGGCGGCAUCCUGGACCGGCAUUGACGCUGAGGCGCGAAAGCUAGGGGAGCAAACGGG
rnacentral:rRNA from 1 species